ACUCCUACGGGAGGCAGCAGUGGGGAAUUUUGGACAAUGGGCGAAAGCCUGAUCCAGCAAUGCCGCGUGAGUGAAGAAGGCCUUCGGGUUGUAAAGCUCUUUUGUCAGGGAAGAAACGGUGAAAGCUAAUAUCUUUUGCUAAUGACGGUACCUGAAGAAUAAGCACCGGCUAACUACGUGCCAGCAGCCGCGGUAAUACGUAGGGUGCAAGCGUUAAUCGGAAUUACUGGGCGUAAAGCGUGCGCAGGCGGUUUUGUAAGUCUGAUGUGAAAUCCCCGGGCUCAACCUGGGAAUUGCAUUGGAGACUGCAAGGCUAGAAUCUGGCAGAGGGGGGUAGAAUUCCACGUGUAGCAGUGAAAUGCGUAGAUAUGUGGAGGAACACCGAUGGCGAAGGCAGCCCCCUGGGUCAAGAUUGACGCUCAUGCACGAAAGCGUGGGGAGCAAACAGGAUUAGAAACCCCUGUAGUCCCA
rnacentral:rRNA from 1 species